AAGUCGUAACAAGGUUUCCGUAGGUGAACCUGCGGAAGGAUCAUUAAACAUAUAUUGGGGGCCGGACCCAAUGCGCGUGUAACCCACGUGCCUCUUGACCCGCCCUGUCGGAAUAUUCUACCCAUGUCUUUUGCGUACUAUUCGUUUCCUUGGUGGGCUUGCCCGCCAAUAGGACACUAUAAAACCUUUUGUAAUUGCAGUCAGCGUCAGAAAAAACUUAAUAGUUACAA
rnacentral:misc_RNA from 1 species